rnacentral:rRNA from 1 species
GAUGAACGCUGGCGGCGUGCCUAAUACAUGCAAGUCGAGCGGACGGACGAGAAGCUUGCUUCUCUGAUGUUAGCGGCGGACGGGUGAGUAACACGUGGAUAACCUACCUAUAAGACUGGGAUAACUUCGGGAAACCGGAGCUAAUACCGGAUAAUAUUUUGAACCGCAUGGUUCAAAAGUGAAAGACGGUCUUGCUGUCACUUAUAGAUGGAUCCGCGCUGCAUUAGCUAGUUGGUAAGGUAACGGCUUACCAAGGCAACGAUGCAUAGCCGACCUGAGAGGGUGAUCGGCCACACUGGAAUUGAGACACGGUCCAGACUCCUACGGGAGGCAGCAGUAGGGAAUCUUCCGCAAUGGGCGAAAGCCUGACGGAGCAACGCCGCGUGAGUGAUGAAGGUCUUCGGAUCGUAAAACUCUGUUAUUAGGGAAGAACAUAUGUGUAAGUAACUGUGCACAUCUUGACGGUACCUAAUCAGAAAGCCACGGCUAACUACGUG